rnacentral:rRNA from 1 species
AUUGAACGCUGGCGGCAGGCCUAACACAUGCAAGUCGAGCGGGGUUUUCGGACCUAGCGGCGGACGGGUGAGUAAUGCGUAGGAAGCUGCCCGAUAGAGGGGGAUACCAGUUGGAAACGACUGUUAAUACCGCAUAAUGUCUACGGACCAAAGUGUGGGACCUUCGGGCCACAUGCUAUCGGAUGCGCCUACGUGGGAUUAGCUAGUUGGUGAGGUAAUGGCUCACCAAGGCGACGAUCUCUAGCUGGUUUGAGAGGAUGAUCAGCCACACUGGAACUGCGGAACGGGCCAGACUCCUACGGGAGGCAGCAGUGGGGAAUAUUGGACAAUGGGCGCAAGCCUGAUCCAGCCAUGCCGCGUGUGGGAAGAAGGCCUUCGGGUUGUAAAGCACUUUCAGCGAGGAGGAAGGGGUGUGUGUUAAUAGUACACACCUUUGACGUUACUCGCAGAAGAAGCACCGGCUAACUCUGUGCCAGCAGCCGCCGUAAUAC